rnacentral:rRNA from 1 species
CGACGGGAUGGUUUGGCACCUCGAUGUCGGCUCGUCGCAUCCUGGGGCUGGAGUCGGUCCCAAGGGUUGGGCUGUUCGCCCAUUAAAGCGGUACGCGAGCUGGGUUUAGAACGUCGUGAGACAGUUCGGUCCCUAUCCGCUGUGCGCGUAGGAGUCUUGAGAAGGGCUGUCCCUAGUACGAGAGGACCGGGACGGACGAACCUCUGGUGUGCCAGUUGUUCUGCCAAGGGCAUGGCUGGUUGGCUACGUUCGGGAGGGAUAACCGCUGAAAGCAUCUAAGCGGGAAGCCUGCUUCGAGAUGAGGACUCCCACCUCCUGGAGAGGGUAAGGCUCCCAGUAGACGACUGGGUUGAUAGGCCGGAUAUGGAAGCACGGUAACGUGUGGAGUUGACCGGUACUAAUAGGCCGAGGGCUUGUCCUCAGUUG